ensembl:miRNA
GUGUGCGGCGGCCUCCUCAUUGUGCAUGCUGUGUGCGCUCCUGCGUCCCACACAGCGCCUGCAAUGUGGAGGUCGAGG